CACACACACACACACACACACACUCACCACAGGCUCCUCUGUAGCCCCCCGCUCCUCUCUACUCCUCUUCUCUCCUCUUCUCUUCUCUUCUCUUUUCUUCUUGUCUCUUCUCACCACCGAUCCAUCUUUCUUUCCUCCCGCCUGCAAUCCUGUCUCCUCAGGUCCACAUUUGUUGUUCAUUUUGUUUGUUAAUUUUGAGUUAUUUCUCCUUGUUUUAGCUGCCACUACGCCUGGAUAACUCUGCCACAGUGGACUGGGGUGGUAAAAACACCUGUUUUAAGAUGGGACUGCAAAAAGCUGUGCAUUUCUAGCACUGUUUUUAGAGUACCAAACGUCUUCAGGAAAGUCACAGUUUGGGCAUCACCUCUAUUGUAAUAUCAGCGUUUCAAACCGCUUUGGUAGAACCGUGGCAGAGUUGAGCAUGUAUUAUGGCCGGCUGUCUGAUGCAAUUCUCUCUCUUUUUUGUGUGUGUUUUUGAAUGUAAGUAUUAUCAUGGACUUGGAACACAAAGCAAUGGUGUUAAGCUAGUUAAGUAACAGAAUCAGUAAUUGUAACCCAUCUAGCUUGUGAGAAAAUGUGCAACCAAUCCUUUGAGGAAUAACAAAAAAAGGAGGGGUAAAAAAAAUUGAAUGAUCAGGAUUAAGUGUUGUGUUUAAAAUAUGAGUUUAUCACCAUGUUUGAAAUUGACUUUGGUUGAACUUCCAAAUUGUAUGACUAUGAAUGAAAUGUUCAGACAUAUAUUUCAUCAUGUUCAGGCAUAAUGGCAAACGCUCCCACAUGAACAGUCUAGUUAAGUAUUGUGCAAUACCAUGGCUCUGGAACAGUACAAUGUUGUAGACAUGCCAGUAAUAAAGUGAAGGUCUUCUGUUUGAUGAAAGGUACUGUGUGUUGUAGGCUUUUUGUCAACACUCCUCUACCGUUUUGUUACCAUGUGUCUGAAGUAAUGAAAGCAAAUGUGUUCUUUGCACUAUGUACAUAAUAGCAAACAACCUCUUGUAACUAAUGUGAAAAAGUACCUUUUUCAGUGUGUGGCUGUUCUUUAUAUUACUAUUUAAGAGUUGCUCUUUAAAACUGUACAGCACUAGUAACAUGUAGAUGCCUCGCAUACCUAAUUGUAAUCUUAACUAUCUGAC
ensembl:lncRNA